CUGCUCACUUCGGCAGCACGUAUACCAAAAUUGGAACAACGUGGAGAAGAUUAGCAGAGACCCUGUGCAAGGAUGACACGCAAAUGCGUGUGGCGUUCCAUAUUUUU